rnacentral:lncRNA from 1 species
UCGAUAUCGUUUCCAUUAUCGAUAUCGAUUAAUCGAACGAAGAAUCGAAUUUUAAUCGACCGUCGAUUGCAUCUUCAUUUAUCGCAGUAGCAAACGAUCGCGGGAGAAACGCAUACAAAAUGCUUUACGAUAAAUAUAGUUGUUAAGAUUUCCGACCAGAUGGCAAAGGGAGGAGGAAAAUGAAGCAGUUAAAUAUGAAGCAAUCGAACGUUUGCUGAUUGAUGAACAUCGCUGCACAGGGUCGUGCUGUCGAAAGUUCGUUGCAUUUUAAAAAAAAUUACGUUAAACAAAAAUUUUUAAAUCAGUGAUUCUCAAUUUAAAUUGCAGAUAAAACAUACAUUAAAAUAUUACUAUUCUUAUGUAAAGAAAAUAACGUAAUAUAUUUUUAAAAAAAAUAGCAUUUAUAACUUGAAAUUCAUAACAACUUGAAUUUUUUUUCAAUAAGAAGAAAGAUUUUACAUGACCCUGUGAUUAUAAAGAUCAUGAAAAUCGUCGUUUUUGAAAAAGUGAAUAAGAAUUAAUUGUAACAGAGAAUAUCGAAAGUCAUGACACACUCGCAACUAUGUUUAUUUCGCUUGUCGUCAAGAUACAAGAAUCCUUCCAAAAUAUUUAUCGAACAUGUUAUAAUAAAUGGGAACAAUCUUACAAUAUAAUUUUCUGUCAGACUUUGUUCUUAGCAGAAAAAAAGAUUCAAGUAAUUUUCAAUUAAUUUUGAUUAUUAUUUUUCGAUCUUUAUAAAAAAUAAAAUUUAAAAUUUUAGUAGAUAAUAACCUCAAAUAAUAAAUAAUUUAUCGAUUAUAUAAUAAAUGAGUGAAAUAUAUUUUGUGGAGUGAUUCUUGUACAGAAAGUACAGCAAGCACCACGAGACGUGGAGAUGUUGUUGAAAACAGCAUAAGCAUCAAUUAAACUUAAAAACAAUAUUACGAUUAUUCGUUCCUGUUCCAAAAUUCCCUAGCUCCACGUCAACUGGCCGAAUGAUAAUUUGAUUAUUAAGAAUAAGGAAAGCUACGAUUGCUAAACGCAAAAAUUAGCGCCAGCUUUUCCAUUAAAAAAUGUCAAAAAUUUUCGAUAAAUGCGUCUCUCUCCUCAAAAUAAAAUUUUUAAAAAACAUUCAAUAAAGUUCUCACAUUACUUGCUGCAGCAGAAAGCGCUGUAUCAAGUACAUAAUAUAUGUAUUUGCAUAGGAGAGAAAACAAUAUAUAUUGCUAUAAAAAGUUUAUGGUGCAUUAGAUUAUUCGUAUAUUUUACGCUGUUAUAUUCAAUUUUUUAUUUCUUGCAAAUAACUAGUUGAUUUUAUAUUCGUGACAAAAGUGAAGUAUUUUUUUCUUCACUUUAUUUGUGGAACGGGGUCGAGGAAUUGUGACGUUGUUUUAAAGUGCCAAUGAAGUCGCCAUGCUUUGCGAUUAAGAAAAGCACCUGACAAGUAAGAUGUUCAUAUACACGCGCACGUCAAAGUCAAUAACUAGUGACAUAUAAAACGAUUGCUUAUUUUUUUAUCGUAACUUUCCGCUCCAUCGUCCUUCCUUUGCAAAAGAUGAAAAGGCAAGAUCAGAGAGAAAGAACUAUUGAGGCAAAAAGAAAAAGGAAUUUUUUCUUACAGAAACGAAGAUGCAACGACGAAGUAUCAUAUAGAUCAGCACCAAUAAAAAACGAAAGUAACAACAGGUACAUUGCAAUAUAAAAAUAUAUUACAAAAGAUACAUUAAAUACAUAAAUUUUCAUAAUUAAAUAUGGUAGAAAAAGAAAAGAGGAGAAAUUCAAAAGAUCGAUAAUAUUGCACAUAACGUUAUACAACCAAAGAAAAAAUGGCAUUACAUGAUCAAGAAUUUCAGAAUAUUUAUUUAAUUGCUAUACCAUUAAAAACUAUAUAAGAAACGAAUAUAAUAAGUAGCACGUAGAGAAACAUCUCAUAAAUAUCGUCUGUCGUUCUCCAUGAAGCUUGUUAUCGAUUGUUCGACGAUUUUCUGAUAAGGCUACAGUUGAUGCGAUUUCUGACAAAUUGAUGACAAUUUCUAAUGAGUAAAUCCUUAAUGUUUAUAUAGAAUGAAUAUUGGAAUAUUAGAAUCAUAAAACGAAUUCAUGGAAUAUUCGAAAAAUAAAAAAUAUGCAAUGUAAUCAUUCUCAUAAGAAUUUAAGUAUUAUUAUUUGAUUGUUCUGAUAUAUUCGUUAGAAUAUUGAUUCAUCAGAAAAUGCAAAUAUAAAAAAAAGCUUCUCGAGAUCAACAGAUAUGAUAUAACAUGAUGAACGUCGAUACUGAAUGCUGGAAAAUCACCGUUCUUGUCACAGUUCCUUUAUAUCAUAUUUCUUCUUUCAUUUAUCGAAAUUUUUCCCUUAUAGACUUUACAACGAUUUUUUGUAUUGAGAUUUACAAUGUAGUUGAUAUUAAUUUGUGGAAUAUAGAAAAGAGAUUCACUUUAA